AUUGAACGCUGGCGGCAGGCUUAACACAUGCAAGUCGAACGAGCGGCGGACGGGUGAGUAAUGUAUGGGGAUCUGGCCGAUGGAGGGGGAUAACUACGGGAAACGGUGGCUAAUACCGCAUACUAUCGGAUGAACCCAUAUGGGAUUAGCUAGUAGGUGGGGUAAAGGUUCACCAAGGCGACGAUCUCUAGCUGGUCUGAGAGGAUGACCAGCCAAACUGGGACUGAGACACGGACCAGACUCCUACGGUAGGAAUCAGUUGGGAAUAUUGCACAAUGGGCGCAAGCCUGAUGCAGCCAUGCCGCGUGUAUGAAGAAGUCCUUAGGGUUGUAAAGUACUUUCAGCGGGGAGGCGUUACCCGCAGAAGAAGCACCGGCUAACUCCGUGCCAGCAGCCGCGGUAAUUC
rnacentral:rRNA from 1 species